GACGAACGCUGGCGGCGUGCUUAACACAUGCAAGUCGAACGGAAAGGCCCUGCUUUUGUGGGGUGCUCGAGUGGCGAACGGGUGAGUAACACGUGAGUAACCUGCCCUUGACUUUGGGAUAACUUCAGGAAACUGGGGCUAAUACCGGAUAGGAGCUCCUGCUGCAUGGUGGGGGUUGGAAAGUUUCGGCGGUUGGGGAUGGACUCGCGGCUUAUCAGCUUGUUGGUGGGGUAGUGGCUUACCAAGGCUUUGACGGGUAGCCGGCCUGAGAGGGUGACCGGCCACAUUGGGACUGAGAUACGGCCCAGACUCCUACGGGGGACAGCAGUGGGGAAUAUUGCACAAUGGGCGGAAGCCUGUUGCAGCAGCGCCGGGUGCGGGAUGACGGCCUUCGGGUUGUAAACCGCUUUCGCCUGUGACGAAGCGUGAGUGACGGUAAUGGGUAAAGAAGCACCGGCUAACUACGUG
rnacentral:rRNA from 1 species